UUCUCGUCGGGAACUUACCCGUCCUACGGUUGGUUGAGUCCGCGAAUCUCUUUUAGCCGUGAAGAGGAUACCUCCAAGCAAUCAGGAUCUUCUAAUACUGUCUCAUGCGACGCUCCAGCUGAAGAUCCGCCGGAGAUUCUUGAUUCUGUUGACUUUGAGUUCCGUCUCGAAGAUCCCGUAACCAUGCUCCCCGCCGAUGAGCUUUUCUCAGAUGGGAAGCUGGUGCCGCUCACGACAAUCAAGCCGGCCAAUGCUUUGAGCGAGAUCAGGUCACCCGAGACUGCCAAGUCUUGCCGUAGAAUGGAGAUGGAAAUAUCCGGUACUGACCCUUGCCUGUUUUCUCCAAAAGCCCCGAGGUGUUCGAGUCGAUGGAAGGAGCUAUUGGGGUUAAAAAAGCUUUACCAGAAUGCGAACACCAAAGCUGAUGCCCACAAAACAACAUCGUCAUCUUCUUCUAACCCUAUCCCAAAAUCGUUGAAACAUUUCCUGCAUAGAAGCUCAAAAUCUUGCAGUUGCAAUUCAUCAUCUUUGGAUCACUCCUUGAGUCUGCCGUUGUUAAAGGAUACGGAGUGUGAGUCCGUUUCCAUUUCAUCAUCGCGAUUAUCGCUUUCUUCUUCGUCUUCGAGCCACGAGCAUGAAGAUCUCCCCAGACUCUCUCUUGAAUCCGAGAAACCGAACCCUAGUUUAAACGUCUUCCAAGAUCCAAAUCCAAACCCAUUUGUUCUCAAUAGGAAUCCAAAUCAAAAUCCUCUCAGAAUGAGAAUGGUGAAGCCCAGGUCAGAGACCAAUAGCAAUAGCAACAGUAGCAAUAACUCCACUUCUGCUACGAGAGUGGGAAGGAGCCCGAUGAGGAGGGCUGCUGGGGAAUCGAGUGGGGUUACAAGCAGGGGGGUUUCGGUGGACAGUCCGAGAAUGAAUUCAUCAGGGAAGAUAGUGUUCCAGAGCUUGGAGAGGAGUUCCAGCAGUCCAAGUAGCUUUAAUGCCGGUUCAAGAUUUAAGCACAGGGGAAUGGAGAGAUCAUAUUCAGCAAACGUGAGAGUGACUCCGGUUAUUAACGUUCCCGUUUGUUCCCUGAGAGGAACAUCCAAGUCAGUCUCCGUAUUUGGGUUUGGACAGCUGUUUUCUUCUCCUCCCCAAAAACGAGAAUGGGCCAACAAGGGGCAGCAGCAACACGGUAAUAGCAGAAACCGGAUUGAUCGAACGUAACAGAGAAGGGUGUAAGCGAAAAGGGUACCACCACCAUUACCAUUCUUUAGCAUUUAAGAGUUUGUUUUUGUGCUAUUCAUGAGAUUUCUGUAGUGAGUUUUUGUUCAAAACAAAAACAUAAAAAUUAUUUUCUUUUUCUUUUCUUUAUCCUUGUUUAAGCGAAGCAAAAUUACCACAUGAAAUUGGGAUGUUCUUGUAUAUAAGCAGCGGGGAAGGGGCCUUCUCGUUCUGUUUUUCAUGUUGUUCCCUCGUAGUUGUUGACGUUCUUGUUCUGCUAUGCUCUAACC
rnacentral:misc_RNA from 1 species